rnacentral:rRNA from 1 species
UACAGAGGGUGCGAGCGUUAAUCGGAAUUACUGGGCGUAAAGGGUGUGUAGGUGGCGAGGUAAGUUAGAUGUGAAAUCCCCGGGCUCAACCUGGGAAUUGCGUUUAAAACUGCUUGGCUAGAGUAUUGUAGAGGAUAGUGGAAUUUCCAGUGUAGCGGUGAAAUGCGUAGAUAUUGGAAGGAACACCAGUGGCGAAGGCGACUAUCUGGACAGAUACUGACACUGAGACACGAAAGCAUGGGGAGCAAACAGG